UACGAAGGGGGCUAGCGUUGUUCGGAAUUACUGGGCGUAAAGAGCGUGUAGGCGGCCAGACAGGUCCGUUGUGAAAACUCGAGGCUCAACCUCGAGAUGUCGAUGGAAACCGUCUGGCUAGAGUCCGGAAGAGGAGUGUGGAAUUCCAUGUGUAGCGGUGAAAUGCGUAGAUAUAUGGAGGAAUACCAGUGGCGAAGGCGGCCUCCUGGCUCGAUACUGACGCUGAGGUGCGAAAGCGUGGGGAUCAAACAGG
rnacentral:rRNA from 1 species